rnacentral:rRNA from 1 species
UGAGGAAUCUUGGACAAUGGGGGAAACCCUGAUCCAGCGACGCCGCGUGAGUGAUGAAGCCCCCCGGGGUGUAAAGCUCUUUCAGCGGGGACAAUCAUGAUGGUACCCGCACAAGCAGCUGCGGCUAACUACGUGCCAGCAGCCGCGGUAAUACGUAGGCAGCAAGCGUUGUUCGGAAUUACUGGGCGUAAAGCGAGUGUAGGCGGUCUGCCAAGUCUGUUGUGAAAUCUCCCGGCUCAACCGGGAGGGUGCGUCGGAAACUGGCAGGCUCGAGUGCGAGAGGGGAGAGUGGAAUUCCUGGUGUAGCGGUGGAAUGCGUAGAUAUCAGGAGGAACACCGGUGGUGAAGACGGCUCUCUGGAUCGCCACUGACGCUGAGACUCGAAAGCGUGGGGAGCAAACAGGAUUAGAUACCCCCGUAGUCC